UACUCCGUGGCGCAAUGGUAGCGCGUCUGACUCCAUAUCAGAAGGUUGCGUGUUCAAAUCACGUCGGGGUCA
rnacentral:tRNA from 1 species